GUUCUGGGGUCGCCCCCACGGCGGCGCGGCGGAGCUCAGCCUCGAUCUCGCGAAACCGAGCGAGACUACGGAAGGCCGAAGGAUUGGGCUCAGCAUUGCUUGGGCUAAAGGCUGACUAGGGCUUCCAGGAAGUGAUGUAUGUGAGAAGUUUGCUUUUUAAAGUGUACGUGGGAUCGUUAUUACGUCGAAAUAGCUCGAGCUGUAACCUAGGGUAAAUAAUAAUUCCUUUUCGUAUUCAUCAAGGUGCUUCUAAGUGCCAGUGCCAGGGUAAGAACCCUAUACGAGUCUCCAAGCUUCUUCCCUCGACGUACUCUCUGCGUAAAUCAAUACCUGUGUCUCUGGCGUAACCCCAUUCAACCGGCUGCUCCGGGAAGGUUUCCAGGUGGUUUUAAGGGCAGAAGAAAGGAAGGACACGGACAUUUGUUAAGCACCUGGAGUGGUGUUCUCCAUCCAUACCCCAUUUACUGUUAGUGAUUGUGAAUUCUAAAACCAGGAUGGCUUUAAUGUCUCCACACGUGCAUAUGCCAUUCAAGUUUUACAAUAACUAAUGAACACAUGCAUUUCUUAUUUAGUUUAUCUCAAUGGUUGCUCAAAAUUUAGUGUCUGUGGGACUUACUGUAUAGUGGUAUGUACGCAAAAGUCAAUAUACUGUUCUUAUGGACAAUUCAAGUGAUUUUCAAAGGGAAUUUCAACUUAGGUCCCCCAUCCCCUUACUUACUGACUUGAGAACCUAACCACUAUGGUAGCUAUUGUACUUUUUCAUUUUAGAAAACGAGGAAACAUGCUCAGAGAGUCCCAGUAAAUUGCUCAAUGGCACACAGCUAGUAAGAGGCUAGAGUUAGGAUUCCAAACGAAGUAUUAAUUGGUCUUCUCAGGCAGAGUUGCUGGAUUGAGUAUUUUAUCAUAUGGAAGGUCUAACUAACCCUAAUUUUGAGAUCAUGUAGCUUCGUUUUAUUCCAGUAUAAAAUUUGUACCAUUUAAAUAUGUUCAGUGUAAAUAGUUCAGUAUAGUCCUCUUGAACAGAAAUAAACGGUGACAGUUAGUCUCUCCACUUCCCACCAUGUGUCUUUGAGGAAAUCAACUUGCCUUUCACUGUGUUACCACUUUUGUAUAGGAGAUCUAGCCCAGAACAUAAUCGAUACUGCCACACUGUUUUGUGGAAAACCCAGGCAAAUAGGUAAACAGUUUGAGACUUGAGAAAAUGCAACAAACAAGAAUGCAACUGUAAAAGAUAAAUUUGGGUUAGGCACGGUGGCUCACACCUGUAAUCCCAGUACUUUGGGAGGCCGAGGGUGGAUCACUUGAGGUCAGGAGUUCAGAGACCAGCUUGGCCACCAUGGCCUAACCCCGUCUCUACUAAAAAUACAAAAAUUAGCCGAGCGUGGUGGCUCAUGCCUGUAGUCCCAGCUACUCGGGAGGCUGAGGCACGAGAAUCUCUUGAACUCCGGAGGCGGGGGUUGUAAUGAACUGAGAUCGCGCCACGGCAGUCCAGCUUGGGCGCCGGA
rnacentral:lncRNA from 1 species